UAAAGAGUCCCUGUUCCCUUGAUGGGAUACAAGCUUUCCAGAUUGCUUAAACUCACUUUCUGCCUCACGUCAACAGCGCUCGGUCUAGGAUACAGUGGCUUUCUUCCUAGUAAAAGCAGCAGGGACUACGAAACAGACAGAGGAACACAAAGAACUCGAUCUUCCAUCUGCUGGCUUAUGCCCCCAACCCAAAUGGCCAUACCAGUGAGAACAGAGUGCAGUUGAAAGCAGGAAGCUGGAACCAGAGGCUCUGUGAGUGUGCGUCUGCUUGAGAACAGGGACCAUCAGGAGCUGUGUAA